UGCCAGCCGCCGCGGUAAUACGGAGGGUGCGAGCGUUGUUCGGAAUUAUUGGGCGUAAAGCGCACGUAGGCGGAUCAGAAAGUAAGGGGUGAAAUCCCGAGGCUCAACCUCGGAACUGCCUCUUAAACUCCUGGUCUUGAGUUCGAGAGAGGUGAGUGGAAUUCCGAGUGUAGAGGUGAAAUUCGUAGAUAUUCGGAGGAACACCAGUGGCGAAGGCGGCUCACUGGCUCGAUACUGACGCUGAGGUGCGAAAGCGUGGGGAGCAAACAGGAUUAGAUA
rnacentral:rRNA from 1 species